UAGGUUGUUUUUUUUUGUAGGUCUGUGAUGUGAAAGCAGAGCUCACCAUCUUAAAUUCAGUUGAAAUCUUAUGUCCUUUUAUAUAAUCUCCCUACCCAUGGAGUACUCAGUAUGACUAAGGAAUCCCUGUGAACACAUCAGGUUAUUGUGAACACAUCUGUGAUUCUACGAUUCUACUUGGGACUGGUUGAAACGAGUCUUCAGUUACAUAUCUGAGCAUUGCAGCCAUCUAACCCUGCUUCUUAGGUCCUCUCAUCCUCUUAAUACAAGUGCAUGUUGAAUUUUAGUCAGCCAGGAAAUGUUGACCUGUGAGGCCAAGGUGUGUUUGGCAUGCUGUAAUGUCAGGCUGUUACAGGGGUGCCCUCAGCUGAUGGGGAGUGGCUGCAAUGGUAAGCAUGCAUGCCUUUGUUAAACAUAAUCAGCAUAUCGGUAGUGUUUAUACCUGGCUUGAUUUAUUUCCACUGGGACAGUGUUUUAUUCUGCUUUAGAUCCAACAUAGAAGAGAUCUGGCAUAUCUUUGUUAACACUAGAUACAUAAAGUGCUCAAGAAAACAUUGAAAUCAAAGCUUUGCUCAUAUUUAUAUUUCUGUUCUGGGUGCGAUUUUGGAAGCAAAGUUGAAUCUUACAAUUAAACAGAGUGACACAGAAGUCCUCCUCCUCAGAGCUGCAAAGAUAGGCCACCACAGCAGCUGGCAAACCUGCCUUUUGCAGUGUAGAGCGGUGGUGUUAGUGUCCCAACACAGUCUCCACAGAGAAUCUCCAAUAUUACGAUCUUCUCCCCGAUAUCUGUAAGAGAUUUUCUAAAAAAGCCCUGGUGGUGUCCAGGCAGGUACAUGAUCACAGUCAUCACAAGAGGAGGUUAGUACAGCUGCCUUUUCCUUACCAGAGAUGUACUCCUGCUCCUAACUUAUGAUCAUGUACCGAGUUUACUGUGCUCCCUCUUUUCAUGCCACAUUUAAUAUCAUGUCAAUGUGCAUGUAAUAAAACUUGAAGAUCACUAAAUAUUUUCUAUGGCAUUAAAUACAUAGAAAUAGAGCAGUCAGCAGCUAGGAACUGUAACUUUAUCAGCAACACCACUACUACCAUCACUAUCAGUACUUAAACUGGAUGCUCCAGCUCUACCUAGCUGCUGUUGCCUAAAUGUAUUUUAGCAGCAUGCAACACAAGUUCUUCCUGCACCAGUCAGGCAUUAUAUCUUAAGCACAAUGAUAGAAAUAUAAAUAAAAUAACAAUUUAAAAGCCCAACCACAACAAAAUACCACCUCUGGUUUUAACAAUGAGACAGCAAAAGCUUAAAAAGAUAUUCUUCUAGCUGGCUGUUGCAGUUACUCAAGAAAAUUUUCAAGAAAUUGCAAUUUUACUGUUUCAGGCCGGAGGAAAAAACCCCAAACCAACCAGUCCAAACAAAUUGCUCAUAGAAGAAGAAAAAAAUAAUUUAAAGUUUAAAAUAGCAUUUUAAAAACAGAAAAACAAAUCCCAAGGCUUAUCAUUCCCUUGCAUAAUAUAUCUAAGCAGAGCUAAGGCCUUUUUUCCAUACACAGGCUUCUUUCCAAGUAGAGAGGACCAGAAUAGCACGCAGUUUUGAAAACUAUCCCAUUACUUUGGAGCAAAUUUAGCCUUCAGUUUUGUAUGCAUCGUGGGCAGCUUCAGUUUCAACCUUCAAGCUAUUAUAUAUGUAAUGGUAUUUUAGAAAUAUAUAUGACGAAUAGUAUAUAUUUUAUUGGUGAUAGUUACUGGAAUUUGUUAUUGUGCAAAGGUAUAAUUGUAGAGAUACAGUUUUGCUUACUGUUAAAUAUUCAAAGCCUGAGUUACAUGGGAGAGCUGGGAUAUAAAGCAGGGCUUUUGUUUUUUGUUUCUUUUUUGUUUUUGUUUUUUUUCUCGUUGCUGGCUUUUACUGUAGGCCAAUUAAAGAACUUGGCAGUGGGGUUUUUUUAUCGUUUCUGGAACAUGUCAAAACUUCCUAACUCACAUGUUUUCCAGAUGCUGAAAUGAAGGCACCUAAGUUUUGCAGGCUUUAUUUUUAUCCAUCAGUGACAGUCUUGGAACAAGUGGCAUUCAAUCAAUAAGCCACAUUUUCUUUUUUUCAAGGUAGCUAUAAGAGUAUGAUAUAGCGAAAAGAACUGUAACACUGUGAACUGCAGUUCAUAUGAGAAAUUACUGUCCCAGCUCCUAAUGCCAAGUGCACUGAACUGGAAUAAGCAGAGCUGGAAUGAAACAGAAAAUAAAAACCAAAAGUUGACUCCCUGCCUUUAAUCAGGAAGCAGUACCGUGACCCCUGUAAGUAUCAAAUAACCCAUAAAAAGAGCUCAUGUUGUAACAACUCUUUGGAAAACUACAUGGAAUUAAGGGGCCAAAAGCUGGGAUCAGGAAGUGGCUGCACCCUGAUGGCUGUCAUUUCCCCUGCGCGUAACUCCUGUUUACUGCCAGCUGCUUUCUUACAGACACAUCACCCGGGCUUUGACACGACUGGGCCCGUCACUGACUCAGAACUAGUAAACUUUGUGUGGCUACUGGCUCAUUUGUGCUGUUCUUUGCAAACGACAAGGUCAGCCUGGGGAAAGAAAAAUAAAAUCAAAAAUAGUCAUCGGAUCUUUCACAAUCCUCUGCUCGGAUUAGGGCACAAAGCUAUACCGUUCAGAAGAAGCGAGAUUGUCUUUCCCUACAGCUACGACACUGCGCUGAUCUCGACACAGCCUGCUUUUCCCUCCAUUUACCUGGGCGGCUGCUGCUGUUUCUGCUGCUGCUGAGGCUGCCACAGUCUCGCUGCCUGCACUUCACCCCGGCUUGGCUGACUCAAAACUCACUCGUCUGCACAUUGCUACGAACAGCGAUGGAGUUGCUUUUUUUCUGUUGGUUCUGGAAGCAAAGAGUUGCAAUAUGUGAUGACUUUGGGAUUUUCUUUGGGGGGGAUGUGGAGGGAGGAGAAAGGAGGGGUGUUAUUCUAGGUUGGGGUGGGUGAAAGCUUAAAGAAAUAUUAUGUAAAGUAAUCCAGUGCUUGACAAGGGCAUCAGCAGCAAGAAUCCAGCCUCUGCUUCUCCAGAGGAUUAACAUGGGGAAGCCACAGUGCUGCAGUCGGGUUUCACCUCAGCGUUGUGCUGGAGAUGGAUAAAUAAGGUAUUGGUUGUGUCUGCCUGUUAAGGCAAAGCCACGGGAGAAGGAGAGAGCGAGUGAAUGCAAAUGCAAAGGAAGAAGAAAUGCUACAUGCCGUUUGUCUGAUUCUGGGCAUUCUUAUUGCAGAGAGGAUGGCUCGAUUAACAAAGAAAUGUAUGGAUGGCGGGGACUGUAAAUUGUAGCUUGAACACUCCUGAAGCUGUCAGGGAAGGAACAGAUGAGCUAGGUGGUUGCAGCGAUAUCCCCAGGGAAAACAGCAGCCAUGCACUCUGUGUGUAUAUAUAUGUAUGUAAAUGCUUUUGUGUGUGUGUGAGCAUGUACAGACAUGAAAGAAAGACAUUUCUGACCAAUUUACAGAGGAAGUUUGUCACUUCGCUAGGUCAGACUUGAUUGCAGCUUGCAUUUUCAGCUAUAGCUCUACACCCAUUUCCUGACUGAGGCGGCACUUUGUGAAAACAGAUGGUAGGCAGAAUUCUUUUAAGAAACGUGAAAGCAGAUCCUUUCCGCUUAACACCUUGAAGCACUGAGUCUUCUGCACUGUGCUGUGAGAAACUGUGGGGUUUCGUUUCUCCAUUUUAAAAUCUUUAUAAACACAGCUGUAUUCAGUAUGGUGAAAAAUUCUAUACUGUAAAUAGAAAUGUGAUCAAUCUAAUCAAAAUAAAUGCAUCCCAGAUGACUUCUA